GUAGGGUGCGAGCGUUAAUCGGAAUUACUGGGCGUAAAGUGUGCGCAGGCGGCAGAGCAAGUCGAGUGUGAAAGCCCCGGGCUUAACUUGGGAAUUGCGCUCGAAACUACUUUGCUGGAGUGUGGCAGAGGAAGGUGGAAUUCCACGUGUAGCGGUGAAAUGCGUAGAGAUGUGGAGGAACACCAAUGGCGAAGGCAGCCUUCUGGGCCAACACUGACGCUCAUGCACGAAAGCGUGGGGAGCAAACAGGAUUAGAUACCCUGGUAGUCCACGCCCUAAACGAUGACGACUAGUUGUUGGGGGAGUUAAAUCCCUUAGUAACGCAGCUAACGCGCGAAGUCGUCCGCCUGGGGAGUACGGUCGCAAGAUUA
rnacentral:rRNA from 1 species